UUCAACAUAAGCAGGACGAGAGCGUUAUUAGCAUUAGCUUAGCUUAACUGGACCCCGAGAAAGAACGUGUACUUUGGUCAUAAAUAUAUUCAUUGCUUAAUCGUUAAGAUAUCGGAGAAUGAUUAGAACGCUAAAAUUAGAAUGCUGGUGAUAGACAGCUAGUGCAGACAUAUAUUCGGCCAUUUUAUAGCAACACUAUACACUAUAGUAACUAUAGGUAAAUAGCAGCAGAACUAGCAGAAAAGAAAGUCGUUUCUUUGUGGUUCGUAAAAUAAUCUGUCAGAGUGACACCUCUCGCCUUUUUUGCGCUCUCUGGGUACGGCUUCAGCAAAGCUAGCAGAGCGAGCUAAUCCGGCUAACAGCUACAGGCUAACGGCUAGCUGGUGUCGCUAUGAUGGCGGAGCUGGUGCAGGGACAGGCCUCGAUGAACCAGCCGGGGCUGAAGUCAGACGGCCUGGUCGAUGCUUUACAGAGGGCCCGGCAGAUGGUGGGUAAAAUAGGCGGAGAAACAAUUUCCCACCUCAACCCCAUCGGG